AUCGGAUUUGCUGUUGUUUUCCGAGAUAGAAAGGAAAGUGUAUUUUGUGAAAUUAACUGUCCUAUGGGAAGACAGAGUUGAGAGGCGAAUGAGCACAAGAGAGACAGAUACGCAGAGUUGGCAUCGGAAGCUGAGCAGCGAGGCCGGAGCGUCCGGGUGCGCCCAGUGGAGGUCGGCUGCCAUGGAUUUGCGGAGCGAGUGGCUGUGGCUAAGGAGGAAAGACGCUGACUGAGGAGCAUGCUAAGGUCGAACGUGCUUAUAAAAAAAAAAGCACCAUCUGUCAAACAAGCUUCAAGAGGAGGACGAGCAGCAGAAUGGCUUCAGUUUGUAAUUGCCAAACUGUCAUCUUAGACAACAUGCCUUAUCUUCAAGAGAGCUCCACAACAAGACCAUGAGCAUCUCUGUUAAUAGUUUCAGAACUCAGAACACUCAGACUCCGCCUCUGCUCCACUCAGCCUGCUAGCCCACCUCAUCAUCUCAGCUCACCUGUGCAGGCAGCUGCUGCUCAUCCUCUGCAAUCAGCGGAGAGAAGCCGAGGCUGCAGCUGCAUGAACUUUGCAAGACGAAACAGCUGGCAGGGGCUGUCUAGAAAGCAAACACCAACUGGGGGUGUGCUGAUGUCAAAGUUUGAGGAAAGGAAUAAAACCACUCUGUGAUUGGGACCUGCAUAUUAGCUGGUACAAGUAUUCCACGCAUGCCCUUUAACCACUUUUCUGUCCGUACUUCCUCUUAUUCUCAUGCUCGCAGUCACUCUGCUUUACUCACAAAAGGGUCCGUCUAAAUACUAAAGGAUAGUAUUAGAAAUGACCUUUGAUAUUGAAUUGUUCAUUGUCCAU